rnacentral:rRNA from 1 species
UAAUACGGAGGAUCCAAGCGUUAUCCGGAUUUAUUGGGUUUAAAGGGUGCGUAGGCGGGAGAUUAAGUCAGUGGUGAAAGUUUGCGGCUCAACCGUAAAAUUGCCAUUGAUACUGGUUUUCUUGAGUACAGUUGAGGUAGGCGGAAUGUGGUGUGUAGCGGUGAAAUGCUUAGAUAUACCACAGAACACCGAUUGCGAAGGCAGCUUACUAAGUUGUGACUGACGCUGAAGCACGAAAGCAUGGGGAUCAAACAGG